rnacentral:rRNA from 1 species
GGCGUCAGGACGGACGCUGGCGGCGUGCCUAAUACAUGCAAGUCGAGCGAAGUUUUUCUGGUGCUUGCACUAGAAAACUUAGCGGCGAACGGGUGAGUAACACGUAAGAACCUGCCUCAUAGACUGGGACAACUAUUGGAAACGAUAGCUAAUACCGGAUAACAGCAUUAACUGCAUGGUUGAUGUUUAAAAGUUGGUUUUGCUAACACUAUGAGAUGGCUUUGCGGUGCAUUAGCUAGUUGGUGGGGUAAAGGCCUACCAAGGCGACGAUGCAUAGCCGACCUGAGAGGGUGAUCGGCCACACUGGGACUGAGACACGGCCCAGACUCCUACGGGAGGCAACAGUAGGGAAUCUUCCGCAAUGGGCGAAAGCCUGACGGAGCAACGCCGCGUGAGUGAAGAAGGAUUUCGGUUCGUAAAGCUCUGUUGUUAGGGAAGAAUGAUUGUGUAGUAACUAUACACAGUAGAGACGGUACCUAACCAGAAAGCCACGGCUAACUACGUG